CUUAAAGCACCAGCUGUUCAUUUUAUGGAUAUGAAGAAGACAGACUCGUGUGUUUCUGUGUUUAUAAACAUUGUCCCGCAGGAUCACAUGGCUAAACAUGAAUCCGGAGCUGUCGCCAAGGGCCAGCACAAAACCGGAUCAACACUGCACUAAAACUGUCACGAACUAUAAUAAAUUGUUAUCACCCACUACGAGCACUACUGCACGCACCAGGAUGGGUGAUUGUGGCAAGUAUUAUUGUGGGGCAGAUAACUUGUCUUUA